CCUACGUGAAUUGUGUAGAUCCGAUGAGAAAAAAAAUUGGGGGGGGGGGGGGUUGAUAUUGACCCAAAGGGCAAGGAGGUCGCUUCGCACCCAUAGACAGCUCGUGCCGGUUUACGCCUCCUCCUCCUGCUUUGAUAUUGACGCCAUAGCGACGGGUACAUCUCGCUGUGAAGGGCAAGCAGCAUCAUUUCACGCCUCUUCUCCUGCUGGCCAGAGCGUGCACACAUCAGUCAGAGUGCAGACCAGACUGCUGGAAGCUGGAUUGAGUCAUCGGACUGAAUUUCCUACUUUUUUCAAACUUUCCUGAUCGCUAUCAAAACAAACAAAACUUCCGGCUUGAUUACGUCAGCAUUCGAAAGAGGGCGCGCGCGUCUUUUGACAAUCCCUGUGUCCGAAAUUGCUUGCUACUCACUAUAGAGGGAUUUCACUGAUGUCACCCGAAACCGGAAGUAAACAGACCCUGCGCCAUUUUGAAAGACCAACAAACUCGUGAUUAGGGGGAAAUAACGGCAGCGGUAUGUGAACCCACGAGAAUAAAGUGCAGUGGCAAACAACUUAAACAAACAAAUCUGAGCUGUUUUAUUUAUGAUUUAUUGGCCCAACAGUAGACUUGAAAGAAACCUGUGUGAGACUUGGCAAAAAACUGUGGAUAUAAUGGAUAAGUCUGUGCAUGAUCUGUGGACACUUUGAGUUAAUAAUACACAUGACAUCAGAUGAGGAUACUGACAGAGAGAGAAAGAGGGGAGCAAAUCUAAAAGGACCUAACAACGUUGUGGUGAUGUUAUCAUUCAGCAGUUUGCAUCCCUGAGCUCAGUGGAAGGAAGAGGUGAAUGUUUCCUGUCCUUUAAACCAAUGAAGGAGCGGCUUGAUGUGUUUCUCUACACAACUCUCAGCACGCCUUACCCUGACUUACUACAGUUUUGCAAGAGCCUCCUCCUUCUGUCCCAUGGCCAAGCCACAGUUGAAAGAGGAUUUUCAGUCAACAAAGAGGUGGAAACAUGCAACCUCCAGGAUGAAUCGUUGGAAUCACUGCGAUUAGUCUGUGACCGGAUCAGCAAUUGUGGGGGUGUUUUAAAAGUACCUCUGACAAAGGAGCUCCUUGCCUCAGCAUCAUCUGCAAGAUCUCAGUAUAGACUGUACCUGGAUAAUGAAAGAAAGAAAAAAGAGACUGCUGCACAUUCUCUGAAGAGGAAGGCAGCUGAGGAUGAGCUCUUGGACCUCAGAACCCAGCGUGAGGUACUAAGCAGUGUCUGUGAGUCACUUCAAAAUGACGCAGACAAGUUGGCCGAGCAAGCUGAGGGAAAGGCCGGAUCCAAAAUGGCUGAACUUAUCACCAAGUCCAACACACUUCGCAGAAGACAGAAAGAAAAAAAGAAGAACUUCGUCAUUUGGAGGAAAGGAUUGAAGAGAAGUCCGCACAACUGAGGCUUUUGUGACUGUGCCUCUCUCCUCUCUCAAUCACACAAUUUUGCCCCUCUUCUUAUUCUCUCCCUUCCUUUCCAUUCAUCUUUCUUCCCUUAUCUCUUUUCUCCCUCUCUCUACGUGUGUGUCUGUGUAUUUAUUCUUCCACCACUAUCCUCUUCUCUACCAUCUCAAUGCUCCACCCCUCCUUCUCCCUCUCUCUCUUCUCUACUCCCUCCCUCUCUCUCUCUCUCUCUCUCUCUCUCUCCCUUUUUUACUCUCUCCCUUGCUCACUUAAUCUGCCAGCGUAAGUUAUCAGCUGAUGAAUGCAGGUAAAGUUGUUGUCAAAUUUAUUUCACAUUUAUUUUGGGACAUGUUCAAAACUGUUCAAACUUUUAUCUGAUCUUUUAUCAAUCAAUUAAUAACAAUGGUUACCACCCAUUACCACUCUUUGGACUCUUUGAACAGUUCUUGAGUCCACAGGGUAAACCCUAUAGGUUAUUGUUACAAGUUACCUCUUUUGAUGACAUCAGUUGCUCCUUUAAGAGAGAAAUUCACCACUUUAGUCUGUCUGUGUGUGAGUAAUAUGACACAUUUUAUUAAAUGUUUAUUAAUGUUAAUCACUGUUGUCCUGUGUCAUUUGUUUUAAGACGUGUCAAGUUGACCUUAGGGUAGGGCUAAGGAUUAUGGUU